UCUCCACCCCUAGUGCGGCGGCCUUGGCAACCCAAGCCCAGCAGAGGGAAGUAGCGCCGAUCCGCCUCCGCCCACCCUCCUCCUCUAGUGCUCCAGGUGCGUCAACCCUCCUUUCCUCCGGCGCUCCACCUCCUCAAGUACUCCUCCCCAUUCUGCUCUUUCCUGUGGAGGGCGAAGGUUGUGACCGUCACUGCUCCGUGUACGGGGCGACCCUGUUGGCAGCAACACCAUGGAGCAUGCCCACAUGAGGUUGAGGCUAAUAAAUUUUUUGGGGCAAGGCUAUCUCACGCCCACUUGCCCACGGUCGAUUUCCGACAGGCCCCCGAUGGCACCGCCGCAUGCUCCUGGAGGGGGCGAUGACGUGACUGUGGCGCAGUGCCCAAUCUGCAUGGAGGAGCUGGUGCCCAACAGCAGCCGCGGAUUCGUCACAAGAUUGCCCGGCUGCCUGCACUCCUUCCACGAAAGCUGCAUCGCACAAUGGUUCUGCAGGGCGGCCACGUGUCCGUGCUGCCGGCGCGACAUGGCAGCGUACAAUAACCGCGCGUACCCGCUGAACAUGACAUCGCUCUACUCGGAGACGACCAUGACGGUUGCGCUGCCCAUUCCGCGCCGUCCUCAACAACGCCGUACGGCUCCCUUCACGUCCCAGGGGCCACUAAACUGACCGUUGUUCCGACGAGUGGCCGUGGAGAAGGAUGAUGUCAGGUUUCGACAACGUAUUGUGGUGUAAUUGAACAUUGCUCAGAAUCGAACUGAAUUCUUGAAAUGUAAUAUGUCUCUGUGCUUUUUUUAAUUGAAUUAAGACACACAUUUGGUUGUUUAAACCGGACGACUGAAUUCACAGAUGGUGAUGGUUGAUAUAUUUUGAUAGUUCCUUUGAUACUGAA